rnacentral:rRNA from 1 species
AGAGUUUGAUCAUGGCUCAGAACGUACGCUGGCGGCACGCCUAACACAUGCAAGUCGAACGAAGUAGCAAUACUUAGUGGCAGACGGGUGAGUAACAUGUAGGUAUCUACCCUUUGGCCUGGAAUAACACGAGGAAACUUGUGCUAAUACCGGAUAAGUCUUUACGGAGAAAGCUUUAUGCACCAUUGGAUGAGCCUGCAUUUGAUUAGUUUGUUGGUGGGGUAAUGGCCUACCAAGACUGUGAUCAAUAGCUGAUUUGAGAGGAUGAUCAGCCACAUUGGGACUGAGACACGGCCCAAACUCCUACGGGAGGCAGCAGUGGGGAAUCUUGCACAAUGGAGGAAACUCUGAUGCAGCGAUGCCGCGUGAGUGAAGAAGGCCUUUGGGUUGUAAAGCUCUUUCGUCGGGGAAGAAAAUGACUGUACCCGAAUAAGAAGGUCCGGCUAACUUCGUGCCAGCAGCCGCGGUAAUACGAAGGGACCUAGCGUAGUUCGGAAUUACUGGGCUUAAAGAGUUCGUAGGUGGUUGAAAAAGUUGGUGGUGAAAUCCCAGAGCUUAACUCUGGAACUGCCAUCAAAACUUUUCAGCUAGAGUUUGAUAGAGGAAAGCAGAAUUUCUAGUGUAGAGGUGAAAUUCGUAGAUAUUAGAAAGAAUACCAAUUGCGAAGGCAGCUUUCUGGAUCAUUACUGACACUGAGGAACGAAAGCAUGGGUAGCGAAGAGGAUUAGAUACCCUCGUAGUCCAUGCCGUAAACGAUGUGUGUUAGACGUUGGAAAUUUAUUUUCAGUGUCGCAGCGAAAGCGAUAAACACACCGCCUGGGGAGUACGACCGCAAGGUUAAAACUCAAAUGAAUUGACGGGGACCCGCACAAGUAGUGGAGCAUGUGGUUUAAUUCGAAGAUACGCGCAGAACCUUACCAACACUUGACAUGUUCGUCGCGACUUUAAGAGAUUAAAGUUUUCGGUUCGGCCGGACGAAACACAGGUGCUGCAUGGCUGUCGUCAGCUCGUGUCGUGAGAUGUUGGGUUAAGUCCCGCAACGAGCGCAACCCUCACUUUUAGUUGCCAUCAUUAAGUUGGGCACUCUGAAAGAACUGCCAGUGAUAAGCUGGAGGAAGGUGGGGAUGACGUCAAGUCCUCAUGGCCCUUACGUGUUGGGCUACACACGUGCUACAAUGAUAUUUACAAAAGGAAGCAAAACGGCGACGUUUAGCAAAUCCUAAAAAAAUAUCUCAGUUCGGAUUGCACUCUGCAACUCGAGUGCAUGAAGCUGGAAUUACUAGUAAUCGUGGAUCAGCGUGCCACGGUGAAUGCGUUCCCGGGUCUUGUACACACCGCCCGUCACACCAUGGGAGUUGGUUCUACCUUAAGGCAAGGUUUAAAACCCUUGACCACGGUAUAGUCAGCGACUGGGGUGAAGUCGUAACAAGGUAGCCGUAGGGGAACCUGCGGCUG